AAGCUUUGAUCCAGAGAUUUCCGAAUGGGGAAACCCAGCAUGAGUUAUGUCAUGUUAUCGAUAUGUGAAUACAUAGCAUAUCAGAAGGCACACCCGGAGAACUGAAACAUCUUAGUACCCGGAGGAAGAGAAAGAAAAUUCGAUUCCCUUAGUAGCGGCGAGCGAAACGGGAAGAGCCCAAACCAACAAGCUUGCUUGUUGGGGUUGUAGGACACUCUAUACGGAGUUACAAAGGACGACAUUAGACGAAUCAUCUGGAAAGAUGAAUCAAAGAAGGUAAUAAUCCUGUAGUCGAAAAUGUUGUCUCUCUUGAGUGGAUCCUGAGUACGACGGAGCACGUGAAAUUCCGUCGGAAUCUGGGAGGACCAUCUCCUAAGGCUAAAUACUCUCUAGUGACCGAUAGUGAACCAGUACCGUGAGGGAAAGGUGAAAAGCACCCCGGAAGGGGAGUGAAAUAGAACCUGAAACCGUGUGCUUACAAGUAGUCAGAGCCCGUUAAUGGGUGAUGGCGUGCCUUUUGUAGAAUGAACCGGCGAGUUACGAUUUGAUGCAAGGUUAAGCAGUAAAUGUGGAGCCGUAGCGAAAGCGAGUCUGAAUAGGGCGUUUAGUAUUUGGUCGUAGACCCGAAACCAGGUGAUCUACCCUUGGUCAGGUUGAAGUUCAGGUAACACUGAAUGGAGGACCGAACCGACUUACGUUGAAAAGUGAGCGGAUGAACUGAGGGUAGCGGAGAAAUUCCAAUCGAACCUGGAGAUAGCUGGUUCUCUCCGAAAUAGCUUUAGGGCUAGCCUCAAGUGAUGAUUAUUGGAGGUAGAGCACUGUUUGGACGAGGGGCCCCUCUCGGGUUACCGAAUUCAGACAAACUCCGAAUGCCAAUUAAUUUAACUUGGGAGUCAGAACAUGGGUGAUAAGGUCCGUGUUCGAAAGGGAAACAGCCCAGACCACCAGCUAAGGUCCCAAAAUAUAUGUUAAGUGGAAAAGGAUGUGGCGUUGCCCAGACAACUAGGAUGUUGGCUUAGAAGCAGCCAUCAUUUAAAGAGUGCGUAAUAGCUCACUAGUCGAGUGACACUGCGCCGAAAAUGUACCGGGGCUAAACAUAUUACCGAAGCUGUGGAUUGUCCUUUGGACAAUGGUAGGAGAGCGUUCUAAGGGCGUUGAAGCAUGAUCGUAAGGACAUGUGGAGCGCUUAGAAGUGAGAAUGCCGGUGUGAGUAGCGAAAGACGGGUGAGAAUCCCGUCCACCGAUUGACUAAGGUUUCCAGAGGAAGGCUCGUCCGCUCUGGGUUAGUCGGGUCCUAAGCUGAGGCCGACAGGCGUAGGCGAUGGAUAACAGGUUGAUAUUCCUGUACCACCUAUAAUCGUUUUAAUCGAUGGGGGGACGCAGUAGGAUAGGCGAAGCGUGCGAUUGGAUUGCACGUCUAAGCAGUAAGGCUGAGUAUUAGGCAAAUCCGGUACUCGUUAAGGCUGAGCUGUGAUGGGGAGAAGACAUUGUGUCUUCGAGUCGUUGAUUUCACACUGCCGAGAAAAGCCUCUAGAUAGAAAAUAGGUGCCCGUACCGCAAACCGACACAGGUAGUCAAGAUGAGAAUUCUAAGGUGAGCGAGCGAACUCUCGUUAAGGAACUCGGCAAAAUGACCCCGUAACUUCGGGAGAAGGGGUGCUCUUUAGGGUUAACGCCCAGAAGAGCCGCAGUGAAUAGGCCCAAGCGACUGUUUAUCAAAAACACAGGUCUCUGCUAAACCGUAAGGUGAUGUAUAGGGGCUGACGCCUGCCCGGUGCUGGAAGGUUAAGAGGAGUGGUUAGCUUCUGCGAAGCUACGAAUCGAAGCCCCAGUAAACGGCGGCCGUAACUAUAACGGUCCUAAGGUAGCGAAAUUCCUUGUCGGGUAAGUUCCGACCCGCACGAAAGGCGUAACGAUUUGGGCACUGUCUCAACGAGAGACUCGGUGAAAUCAUAGUACCUGUGAAGAUGCAGGUUACCCGCGACAGGACGGAAAGACCCCGUGGAGCUUUACUGUAGCCUGAUAUUGAAAUUCGGCACAGCUUGUACAGGAUAGGUAGGAGCCUUUGAAACGUGAGCGCUAGCUUACGUGGAGGCGCUGGUGGGAUACUACCCUAGCUGUGUUGGCUUUCUAACCCGCACCACUUAUCGUGGUGGGAGACAGUGUCAGGCGGGCAGUUUGACUGGGGCGGUCGCCUCCUAAAAGGUAACGGAGGCGCUCAAAGGUUCCCUCAGAAUGGUUGGAAAUCAUUCAUAGAGUGUAAAGGCAUAAGGGAGCUUGACUGCGAGACCUACAAGUCGAGCAGGGUCGAAAGACGGACUUAGUGAUCCGGUGGUUCCGCAUGGAAGGGCCAUCGCUCAACGGAUAAAAGCUACCCCGGGGAUAACAGGCUUAUCUCCCCCAAGAGUUCACAUCGACGGGGAGGUUUGGCACCUCGAUGUCGGCUCAUCGCAUCCUGGGGCUGUAGUCGGUCCCAAGGGUUGGGCUGUUCGCCCAUUAAAGCGGUACGCGAGCUGGGUUCAGAACGUCGUGAGACAGUUCGGUCCCUAUCCGUCGUGGGCGUAGGAAAUUUGAGAGGAGCUGUCCUUAGUACGAGAGGACCGGGAUGGACAUACCUCUGGUGUACCAGUUGUCGUGCCAACGGCAUAGCUGGGUAGCUAUGUGUGGACGGGAUAAGUGCUGAAAGCAUCUAAGCAUGAAGCCCCCCUCAAGAUGAGAUUUCCCAACUUCGGUUAUAAGAUCCCUCAAAGAUGAUGAGGUUAAUAGGUUCGAGGUGGAAGCAUGGUGACAUGUGGAGCUGACGAAUACUAAUCGAUCGAAGACUUAAUCAA
rnacentral:rRNA from 1 species